UUCAACCCCAUAGAUCUUUCUUUUCCCUUAGACCUCUCUCUUCCCUCUCGCUCUUUCUUUCUCGUAGACCUGCAUCGCCUCUUUCAUUCCCGUAGACCUCUCUCUUCCCCUAGUCCUGCAUCUCCUAUUUCUUUCUCGUAGACCUAUCUCUUCCCUCUCGCUCAUCUCUCCCUCUCUCUUUCCUGUAGACCUUUCUCUCUUCUUCACAACCUUGAACCCUAAAUCUUGAACCUAGACCUGUCUUUCCUCUUCACAAUCUCGAAUCCAACCACCACCACUACUCUGUCGGUUGUCUCUCUCCCUCUCGUUCUAAAUGACGGGCAACCACACGAAUCUCGAAGCCGACGAGAAUCAAGUCCCAAACUUAAGGGUUUCGGAUUUGUGAGGGUUUGAGGUUAUGUGGGUCUGUUGAUUUUGUUUAGUUGAUAGGGUUUCGGAUUUGUAAGGGUAGGAAUCCCAACACAAACUCGAAAGAAAUGAGUUUGACUUGCAGGUGUAUAAUACAAGUCCUCUACUUCUCAGUGGAACCGCAAUCCAUAUUUAGCACAGUAGAGAUUCCCACUUUUCUAAUCCCAAUCCCCUAAAACCCUAUUCAGGAAACCCCAUCUUCUUAUACCAUAA